rnacentral:sRNA from 1 species
UUAUGAUUGAGGAGAUGAGAGAAUGAG